GAUGAACGCUGGCGGCGUGCCUAAUACAUGCAAGUCGAGCGAACAGAUAAGGAGCUUGCUCCUUUGACGUUAGCGGCGGACGGGUGAGUAACACGUGGGUAACCUACCUAUAAGACUGGGAUAACUUCGGGAAACCGGAGCUAAUACCGGAUAACAUUUGGAACCGCAUGGUUCUAAAGUGAAAGAUGGUUUUGCUAUCACUUAUAGAUGGACCCGCGCCGUAUUAGCUAGUUGGUAAGGUAACGGCUUACCAAGGCGACGAUACGUAGCCGACCUGAGAGGGUGAUCGGCCACACUGGAACUGAGACACGGUCCAGACUCCUACGGGAGGCAGCAGUAGCGAAUCUUCCGCAAUGGGCGAAAGCCUGACGGAGCAACGCCGCGUGAGUGAUGAAGGGUUUCGGCUCGUAAAACUCUGUUAUUAGGGAAGAACAAAUGUGUAAGUAACUGUGCACGUCUUGACGGUACCUAAUCAGAAAGCCACGGCUAACUACGUG
rnacentral:rRNA from 1 species